GCCUCCCUGGGCCCUUACGAGGCCGGGACCGCCCCGGCCCGUGACGUCAUGGACCCCAAGCCAAUCACCGGAGCCUCAGAUCUGCGCCGUGGUCUGCGAGCCGGGUGACGUCACAGCGCGGGCCCGACCUCCUCGGCUUCCCGGGUUACAGUGAAGCGGAAAAAGCUAGUUGUCCCUGGUAGCGUGUAUCUGGAGUUAGAAGGCCGGAAAAGCGUUUUUUGCCCAAAUCAAAGCUCUGCCCUCCAAAGGAUGUAAUGUUUCCCCUAAAUACAUUUACUAGACACUGAUAUGAAUGUCCAUUUGGAAAGGAAGAUGAAACUUUCCUUUUUUUGCGUUAACAUAAAGCUGAGUAUUUCUUAGAAAUAAGCAUUGUGUGACUACCUCAGAUAUUAUUCAGCUUCACUUUAUACUGCGUAGCCUAAAAGGAUCAACUGCUGGUUUGGAAGAGGAGAAAGUACAUUUUAAGGCAAGAGUGCAUAGCCCAAAGAUUGCACCUGUUGAAUGCUUACAGGCUGCCAGGACUCGAAAGGCAUUGCUGGAUUGCAGAAAAUGCCUUGGACAGAGCCCUCGCCCCCAGGAAUUGAAUGACUACUAGCCAUGACACGUCAAAUAACAUUCAUGCUACAAACAUUCAAUCAGCUUUUAACUUUCAAAUCUGUCUUCUGAACCAGGCACCAUGCUAGCCCUAGGAAUAGAAAUGUGAAUAAUAUGUGGCUCCACCCUCAGAAAGCUGGCAGUCUAGCCAAGGGAAGCUCAGGGCACUGUGAACCCACUUGAACACACCCUUUACUCAGUAUAGAUGUGAUUCUGGAAAGUUGUUCCUCUUGCAUGUUUCUGGAAUAGGAAUUCUUUUUCUCUUAACUUAUCUUAAUAAAUCAAAGCUGCCUUCCUACAAUGAAAGUAAAACUGCACUUAAUGUUUUGGCAGAGUAAGAGAUCAGGAUGAUGAUCAGUCCACGGGUAUCUUGGCCCUUGCAUCUUAUCUGAUCUUUUUCCUGAUAAGAGUUGUCCUUACCUGGAAAUUAAUGCUCCCGUGUAACAAUUCCCUGACUUCAUAAUUUCCUAAUUCCUUUUAAACAACUCACUUUAGUGAACAUUUAUGAAUGAUCAAUUGGGUAUCAGACAAAGAUACACAAGGCCCAGUUUUUUGCCAUCAAGGAAUUUACAAACUGUCAACUAGGCAGGAAUCUAAGAACCCCAAGAUUCCAGCACGCCUGAUGUACACACACCUCCUCCCAGUUAUUCAGUAAAACACUAAUAUAGAUACUGCUUUGAGGGAUUUUGCAGAUGUUAUUAAGGUCUCAAAUUAAAUGACCUUAAGAUAGGGAGAGCAUCCUUGGUGGGGCUGACCUAAUCAGGUGAGCACUUAAAAGGAGUUAUGCUCUUCCUGGAAAGAGGUUCAAAGCAUGAGGUAUAUUCAUCAUUAGGGAGAUUCUCCGCUAAUGGCUUUGGAGCUAGAGAGUGCCACCUGGCAAGGACCACAGAGCAGAGUCUAGGAGCUGAGAGCAACAGUCAGCAAGGAAAUGAGACUUCAGUCUUAAAACUGCAAGGAACUGAAUUCUGCCAAUGACCUAAAUGAGCUUGGAAGUGGAUUUUCCACAGAGCCUCUACACAAGAACUCAGUUGACUGAUACUAUGAUUUCAGCCUCAGGAAACUCUGAGCAGAGAACUCAGCUAAGCCAUGCCUGUGCCAGAACUUCUGACUUAAGAAGUGUGAGCUAAUAAAUAGUUGUUGUCUUAA